UAGAAAAUAUCAUGAGGUCAAACUGCCCAUCUGUUGUUGCUUGAUGGGCUUGAAUUUGCCAUAUUAUGCUUCCAGUUUAUUGUUUGAGUAUACAGUACCUUUGAGGAUAUUCUGGAGAAUAUUCUAGUCAGUAUUUGUCAUUGUUUUGGAUUGUUGCAUUAAUAAGUAUUUGAAUAA